rnacentral:lncRNA from 1 species
CCGAACUAAAACCAAUAAGAACAAAAAAUAAGCUAAAGCAAAACUGAAUUCCAAGUUAAGGUUUUCCCCAAAAUUAUAUAUCCAGUGUCAAGCCAACUCAGCAGCAGAACAUAGACCAAUACCUCAUGUGAACCUAUGCCAAAAUGAGCUAAAUUGGUUGCCAAUCCAAUACCAAAUAUUCAAUAGUAAUGCCAAUCCAAUGUAGAAACAAGCCCCAACCAAUGGCCAAGUAAUUCCCAAUGAAUUCCAAGUUAAAUUGAGUCCAAACAACCCAAAACCUCACUUCAACAAACUGUCAAACACCUUGUGUGCACUGCUGAAAACCUAACUUGACAACCCUUGUUUGAAAGUUCUCUAUCCAGAUUUCAGCCAGUGGAAAUCACCAAAAUCAAUAGAGAGGACAAAGCCCAAGGCAAAUCACAACACAAAUAGAAUCAUAAGACACAAUUAGGACUAAGCUCAUUGGAGAAGAAAAAUCUAACUUUACCUUCAAACUGAAAAUCCUAAGUGAGAAGCAAUCUCUGCUCAAGCCUUUUAGAUGGCAAUCAAUGAAAGAAAAUUAAUUUAGUGAAGGCUUUUGGUUGAUGGGUGUGGCUUGGGGACAAUUUAAGAAGUAGGUUGGGGCUGUUGUUUAGAGCUGUCGAUAGAAGGGUGAGAAAUGGCCUAACUUGCCGACUUUUGUCUGUUUUAAAAAGAAAAAAAUCGCUAUUGGCG